rnacentral:tRNA from 1 species
GUCUGGCUGGCUCAGUUGGAAGAGCAUGCGACUCUUGAUCUUGGGAUGGUGAGUUCAAGCCCCACGUUGGGCA